UCCAAGCUGAAUGAACCCAGUUCUUUCAGCCAGACUCAUCCAGGUGUCCAUGGCCUUUAAUCAUUCAAGUAUUCAGUGAGGGCAUUGCAUGUAUUAAUGAGUGUUAAUGAGUUUUCUUUGUUCAUCUGAAGGGUUCAUAGUAACUUUAUACACGUUGUAUUGUGAGCAUGGUUCAGAGCAACAGGAAAAUUAUCAUGUUUUCCUGUAGGUACGUAAGCUCAGAGUGGUGAAACAGCUUUGAAGGGCAGGAGCUCCGUCCCUCAGCUAGGUUUGCGUGUGUUCCUAUCCUAAAGAAACACAGCUCUCUGAUACAAUUAGAUGCUGGAGCGAUCCACGUGUUAAUUAAGAAACAGGAGUCCUGGAUCACUGCUGCGUGCUCGCCCUGGUGCGAGCUGCUGGCACUGCUGGAAGGGGGGGGGGGGGGUUAUUGUGUUACCUCUACGUGACACACAGCGCUCUGCCUCCGUGGCUCUGGUGCCUUUGGUGGGGUGGAACCGAGCUGCUGGGAAGGAUCUGCGUUGUCUUGGAAACAGUUAGUACUAAAAAAGCCAGGUUAUAGCCAUUUUCCUCACCUUUCUUACCAGUUACUGUGCCCCUAGCUACAGUUAUACAGAAAGGUUACGCUAGUUUUCGCUCCGUUACAGUGAAAAACUGUAGCAAAGUCUGUCCCUGGCUGUCAGACGGGUCAGUGUUUCCCUGGCACGGGUGCUGAGGCAGGGCAGCACGCCGGUCCUGGUGCUGCCGGGCGGGCAGCCGGGUGCUUGUGGAGCAGGCGGGCCUGCUGGCGCCUGACGCCACGGUCUGAGGAUGGAGCAGGGCCUGGUUUUGCUGCUGCUGCUGCGGGCCAGGACGAGGACAGAGCAGGCAGCAGCAGAUCGCACGGAGUGGGCAGAUCUUCAGGGUGUGGGUGCAGGGAGCGCGCUGCCCACGGCUGCUGGGAGGCAGCUGCAGAGGCAGGGUGGGUCCGGAGGGCAGCCCCCAGGGGCUCCUUGGAGCCAGGCAGAGGCUGCGCCGUGCCACAGCGCAGGAAAUGGGAAACCUGUCUGUCUGUUAAAGAGGACCCCAGUGAGCAGGCUUUGUCAGGCUUUGUCUAGGAAGAGCCCAGCAGACCUUCCUUCAGCCAAAGGAGUGGGAGAGAGAAGAAGAGAAAAAAGGCUUCCUCCUGAGCUGGAGGUGUGGCAAGAUGGGGGAAAAGUGCCGUGAAGGCCUGGUGCAGCAGGGCACGGUGAGUGACGGUGCUGUGACAGGGGUGUUGGAUGCACAGAGGAGGGCCGGUGAGCCGAGGUGGGGCAAAGCAGCACUCCCAGGCUGCGCUGCAAACCUUUGGCACAGGCCUCAAAGCAUUUCACUGGGGCUGCUAAGGGAUGGAUUCUGUUCCCGAACCCUAGCCCGUGAGGGCUUUUCUGCAAAAUGGGAAAUUUUGUGCCUCUUGCUUUCUGCCUCUUUGCACACCCCCUUUCCCUCCCCACCUUUUUUAUUGCACUCAAAUUCCCGAGUUCCUCCAGCUGCUGCGGGAUUCUGCUGUGCUGCGCCUGCUGGCUGCAGCUGGGGCCCUGCAGGGCUAGGACAUGAGCGUGUGCGUGCGGGGCUGCGCCUCCUGCUGCGCGUGCAGCGAUGGCAUUACAGACCCUGCCACGCGUGGGUGUGCUGUGCGGGGCUCAGCGGCACCGCGCCGCCAUCCUGACGGGCUCGGGCAGGUAAAUUUCUCCUGUAAGCAGCAGCGCAGGCGGCGAGGAGGGGAGCGGGGGGCUGUGAAGUGACUCACCCUUGUGCUGCUUGCCCAGGGCCUGAUGCGGCGCGGUUCUGGGCCUCCAGGGCCUGCUGCAGUGCGGGCAGAGGCACAGCGGGGUGCGAGCCCUCUGCUCCGACCCUACGGGCACGUGGCUGUGACCUAGGCCCACGUCCCUGGUGUGGGAUGCUCAGCGCUACUGACCGCUGAGCUCCUUACUGCGAGGCCACGCAGGAGUUAACAGCCCACGACUGCGUCCUGGCCUGGCAGGGUCCUGGGAGAUGGCUGUGGAGAGCCUCGGGCCGCUGUCCAGCUCCAGACUGAAAUUUACAGCGCCUGGGUGCUCCAGGCCAGCAGAGCCCUUCCUGCAGGCUGCGCGCCUUCCCAGCCGGAUGCAGAUGGAUGGCCGGACCCGCACCAGCACGAGGCUCUGGGGAGGGCUGAGGUGCUCUGCGAGAGGCAUUUACUGGAGAACAUACAUGCCCUUCCCCAGCUGCUAAGGACAGAGAGACAGCAGGGCUCAGGAUCCAAAAAUCUGCUGCUCCCAGGCCCCCUUUCUAGCGAAGUCUAAUGGCCUGCACCUGCCUGCUGCGUGGGAAUGAGCUUGUGCUGCUGCCCGCUGCUGUGAACAUACCUGCUUUGGCAGACCCCAUUACUGGAGGUGCUCAAGUCCAAGAUAGCCUCUCAGGUCAAGCAAAGAAAAAACCAUUCCACCUCCUCAAAUGAGAAGUCUGCUGGCCUCCCCUCCGGGCUUCCUUUUCCAACAUUACCAGAAGGAAAUGUAAGUAAAUGUAGGUCCUCGCACUCGCGUGCGGUGCGGGGCUGCUGGCCCAGCAACCAGCCCCGGCUGGAGCGGGCGCAAGGCUCCGUUUCCUGCGGGGACGGCGCCAGGCAGCUGGGCAGAGCAGGACGGCCGCGCUGAGAGCAGCUCUGCGGGGCGGGCAGCAGCGCAGCCCUGCUUUCAGGAGGAACAAGGCGGAGGGAAGGGCCGUUGUUCCCCACUGCUGCUGGGCACAAGGGAGCAGGGCAUAGUUCUGCUCACUCUCAUCGCAAGCGGUGACCAGAAGGCUUUGUAGCUCUCGAAGCAGGUCAGUGCCAAAUGCAGGUUUCUGCCUCGGGCACACGAUUCAAUCCUGUACGAGGCUUCUGGCCCAGCUGCAGCAGAAGCAAUGCGUUGCCUAAGUUUGUGUUCUGUGCUGAGCAGAUGGGCAGAGACCGUCUUCCUCCCUUCCCGGGCACAGAUUCCUGUCUCGGGGCUGCAGUUGGCGCUGCCCAGCUGGCAGUUACCUUUCAGGCUUUGUCCCAGGCUGGGGUUUUGCUGGGGGUCUCCAAAUUCCACUGAAGCUACGGGUGGGAGAGCCUUGGAUCCUGCGCAGGAGGUUCCAGUACAGCUCUGCACACGAGUGGCUGGGGAAGCGGAGGGGAGGAACAGCACAGGGUGCUCACAGCAACCCCAGAACAAACUAAAGUGGGGGGACCAUGGCUGCAGCCAGGGCGGGGGUCAGGUUUAAAAGGACCUGUGUUGCCGCUGACUUGAGCUCAUUUCCUCCUUUAGCAAGAACAAAGUUGAGCAAGAUAUUCCAGGAAAGGAUCCAGAGCAAUCUGUCACCUCGUGAUGCAAAUAAGACAGGAGGACUUGAAAAUGAAAAAGGUGCUCUUCCCUUCCCCCAUUAAAUUAAAAGUGUUUUGGAAAUAAAGGACAUCAAGGCUGGAU